AUUGAACGCUGGCGGCAGGCCUAACACAUGCAAGUCGAACGGUAACAGGAAGAAGCUUGCUUCUUUGCUGACGAGUGGCGGACGGGUGAGUAAUGUCUGGGAAACUGCCUGAUGGAGGGGGAUAACUACUGGAAACGGUAGCUAAUACCGCAUAACGUCGCAAGACCAAAGAGGGGGACCUUCGGGCCUCUUGCCAUCGGAUGUGCCCAGAUGGGAUUAGCUUGUUGGUGGGGUAACGGCUCACCAAGGCGACGAUCUCUAGCUGGUCUGAGAGGAUGGCCAGCCACACUGGAACUGAGACACGGUCCAGACUCCUACGGGAGGCAGCAGUGGGGAAUAUUGCACAAUGGGCGCAAGCCUGAUGCAGCCAUGCCGCGUGUAUGAAGAAGGCCUUCGGGUUGUAAAGUACUUUCAGCGGGGAGGAAAGGAGUAAAGUUAAUACCUUUGCUCAUUGACGUUACCCGCAGAAGAAGCACCGGCUAACUCCGUGCCAGCAGUCGCGGUAAUACGGAG
rnacentral:rRNA from 1 species